rnacentral:rRNA from 1 species
CCUACGGGGGGCAGUGGGGAAUAUUGGACAAUGGGGGCAACCCUGAUCCAGCCAUGCCGCGUGUGUGAAGAAGGCUUUCGGGUUGUAAAGCACUUUCAGCGAGGAGGAAGGCCUUAAAGUUAAUACCUUUGAGGAUUGACGUUACUCGCAGAAGAAGCACCUGCUAACUCCGUGCCAGCAGCCGCGGUAAUACGGAGGGUGCAAGCGUUAAUCGGAAUUACUGGGCGUAAAGCGCGCGUAGGUGGUUAGGUAAGCGAGAUGUGAAAGCCCCGGGCUUAACCUGGGAACGGCAUUUCGAACUGUCUGACUAGAGUGUGGUAGAGGGUAGUGGAAUUUCCUGUGUAGCGGUGAAAUGCGUAGAUAUAGGAAGGAACACCAGUGGCGAAGGCGGCUACCUGGACCAACACUGACACUGAGGUGCGAAAGCGUGGGGAGCAAAC